GCUGGGUGUGGUGGUGCACACCUGUAGUCCCAGCUACUCAGGAAGCUGAGGCAGGAGAAUCGCUUGAGCCCAGGAGGUGGAGGUUGCAGUGAGCCAAGAUGGUGCCACUGCACUCCAGCCUGGGCAACAGAGUGAGACUGUGUUUCAA
ensembl:misc_RNA Metazoa_SRP Metazoan signal recognition particle RNA